UGGGCAAUGGCUCAGUGGUACUGCAUCCGCUUUGCAUGCAGAAAGUUCCAGGUUCAACCCCUGGCAGCUUAG
rnacentral:tRNA from 1 species